rnacentral:lncRNA from 1 species
CAAUCCCAUGCAGACUCCCAGGUUGUCGAUUCAGUCUGUGAGCCUCUAUGAGCCCAGGAUUCCCUGAGGUCCGCCUAAUGUUUGGUUGUGGAUCUCUGCAUCUGUUUCCAUCUGUUGCUGGAUGAAGCCUCUCUGAUGACAGUUGGGCUAGGCACCAAUCUCCAGGAGCCAGAGGCGCCACACAUCAAAAGGUGGUUUUGAAGGGGCUGCCCCCAUCACUCCUAAUGACCUCCAGUGACAUUUUGUGUGUCCACCCUGCAACUUUGGGUUUCCCUGGUUUUGAAGUCCUGGUUCUCAUGGAAUUCACAGAAGAAGAAAUGCACAUGGUCACAGCUGCUCCUUGGCAUGACUGUGCCUCAACCCCAGACUUCCUGUCUAUCAUGGCAGAAGGAGAAUUCCUUGGCUUGAGGUGGAAGAAAUCACAGCAGGUUCUUCCAUGCCCUGGACUAGACAAGCCAUCGUCAGGGCGUCUGACAAGACUGUGUCUGCCUGGAAGGAGCGGGCCCUGACCCAGCCUAUGGGCCUGUGUGUGUUGGCAAAG